rnacentral:misc_RNA from 1 species
GUUGGAAAGGCAUUGAAGGAGAAGCCUCUGGUGCUUGCUUGCAAGCUUGUUCGCUGCAUGCACUUCUAUGUCACAUUUCGCACAAAGCGCUGCUUCAUCUGCACAACAAAUGACAGUGGCUGGAGCUCUCUCACACACAUCACACUGAAUCUUCAUCUUCCUUGAACACCUCUUGCUUUACAAUCACUUUUCGCUACUUUUAACAGAUACCCACUUCGUUUUUCACCUAACCUAGUAGCUUUCCUCUCAGGGAGAUUCAAACUUCAAAGCAUGGCCAUGAAAACGAAAGGAGAGAGAAAUAUUUCGAGAACAAUGAAAUACCCAGUAUCAGUGCCAGAAAAUUGCCUGAAGUACAAACAAAUAUUCUAGACCAAACAGAAAAAGAUUCUUGGAGGAAAAAUCUUGAUUCUUUAACAGAAAGAUACGCCGAGAAUGUGGGAAGACUGAAGAAAGAAAAAAACACAAGAAAGAAAAGAAAGGAAACGAAAAGAAAAGAAAGGAGAAAAUGUGGGAAAAUAUAAGAAAAAGAAAAAAA